ACGGAUUUUCAAGACGGACGCGGCGUCACGUCGAAUCGUUUUCAUUUAUCACCACGACGGUUCGUUUCCCGCGGACGGGGUUCGGAAAACGGGGCCGACGUUCGGUCGUCGCACAAAGACAUUCGGUAUUGCCGCGGGACGAGGGGGCGUAUUAAAAGCUUGAACGUUAAAAAAAAAAAAAAAAAACACCCGUAAAAUCGUAUCACGCGACGAACGGGAUAAACGCGGAGAAUCGGGUGAUCCGUUUUUCGACGCGAUCGGCACGGAAUCGAUUCGGCGAUCCGCCGUGUUGUUUGUACCGCCGCGAGUUUUAUUGUUUUUUUUUUUUUUAAUUUUUCGUUUUAUUCCUCCGAAAUCGAAAAUAAUAAAACGCACAUGAACGACAGUAAUAUUAUUUGUUAAUGCGAUCAAUUACAAAAGCGAACCGCUAACUCGCGAGCGGCGGCCGAGAAGAACUCGCGAGUUUCAUAAUAUAAAUGUAAUUAUAAUAUUAUAGUAUUAUACUUAUAAACCGAAUAACACAAAUUGCACACGAUAUAAAUAGCUAUACACACGAAAUGUUUAUAAUUUUUAAAAAAAUAUUAUGGUAAG